GGGGAUGUAGCUCAGUGGUAGAGCGCAUGUUUCGCAUGUUUGAGGUAAUGGGUUCAAUCCCCAGCAUCUCCA